AGAACGAACGCUGGCGGCAGGCUUAACACAUGCAAGUCGAACGCUUCACCCUCGGGUGGAGAGUGGCAGACGGGUGAGUAACACGUGGGAACGUACCCCUUUGUUCGGAAUAACCCUGGGAAACUAGGGCUAAUACCGGAUACGGCCGAGAGGCGAAAGGUUUACCGCAGAGGGAUCGGCCCGCGUCCGAUUAGCUAGUUGGUGAGGUAAUGGCUCACCAAGGCGACGAUCAGUAGCUGGUCUGAGAGGAUGAUCAGCCACAUUGGGACUGAGACACGGCCCAAACUCCUACGGGAGGCAGCAGUGGGGAAUAUUGGACAAUGGGCGAAAGCCUGAUCCAGCCAUGCCGCGUGAGUGAUGAAGGCCCUAGGGUUGUAAAGCUCUUUUGUGCGGGAAGAUAAUGACGGUACCGCAAGAAUAAGCCCCGGCUAACUUCGCGCCAGCAGCCGC
rnacentral:rRNA from 1 species